GUUGAGGGGUAGGGUGGGUGUUGCGCUGCGUUCGUUAGUUAAAGAGGGGAUGGCGUAUAGUGUAUUGGAGAUACAGAACUUGGAAUGUGUGGGGUAUAAAUUAUGUAGGAAUAGAGGUUACAUUGUUUAGGUCAUUUAUACAACCCCUGAAAACCUCUCGUGUUACCACAGUUUGAAGGGAUGUAUAGGGAGGGGUGGGAAGGUCAUAUGGUGUGGGGAUAUUAAUGCUCAUAAUGAAAUAUGGGAAAGUCAGCAUGAAGAUAAUCAUGGGAACAUAGUUGAGGAAUGUAUGGAUUACAGGGGAUUAGUAUGUGUUAAUGAUGAGAGGGGGAGGAGAAUCAAUGUACAGAGACAUACUUGGGUUUGACAUUGGUAUCUGUGGCGGUGACUGGGAGGUGUGAAUGGGAAGUGAUGAUAGAAUCCACGAUAGGGAGUGAUCAUUUUCCGGUUCGAUGUAAAGUCAAUAUGGGUGUGUGUAUGCAGAUUAACAUGAGGUGGUGCUUUGAGUAAGCUGACUGGAAGGCAGAGUGUGAUGAGGAGAGUGGGUCGAUAUUCAGGUCCUGUUGGGCCGUAGGUAGCUAGUUUCCUUAUUUUUUAAAGCUACGAAUGGCAAAUUUAACGUGGUUCAUCAUGGAUUUGACAAACCUAAAAAGGUUUCAAUUUGAUAGGCCAUUGUGGAGGGGAUUUGCAAAGGAUUUAAAUGGACACCAAAAAUCAGAUUUCCUGAUUUAUCAAUAACUCGGCCAUCUCAAACUAAGUCAAGACAUGGGUCUAUACUCCUUAUGUGGUGUUAUUUGGAUGAUGGGUUAUGUCUAUAUGUCUUUCAAAGGUUUUCCAAAAUGUUCAAGAUGGAGGAAAAUCUUUCCUGACAGACCUUAUGGGUCCUUGAGGCAAAUGUGUUCAGUGUGAGGAAAGAUUCUACAUCAAAGUUUUACAACACCACCUAUAGGCCAAUCAGUGCCAAUCUUUUUGACCAAGUUACUCAUGGCCUCUAGUCCUUUAAUUCACUGUACACUACCUACCUCUUUAACGAACAUGUAAAUACACAAUUUUUAUGACGGUGAUCGAACGUCGUUCCGGUUGAACGACUCCUUCACCAAGUACAAGAAGGAGAAGGCGGAAAACGACAAAAUGCUGAACGAGCAGAACGUCAAGCUCCAAGAGCAUCUGUCUGAGGUCCCCUUCCAGAAGGCAAAGUUCUCCACACAGCUGGGGUUCGCCUCCAAGAGGUAUAAGAUGCUGCAGGAGAACCUGAAAGGCUACAGGCGGGAGAUUGCCGAGCUGCACGAGAAGAGCCAGAAGAUGGCCGCCACGGCUCAGAAACACGAGCAGAACAUCCACACCAUGACCCAGGACCUCUGGGCUGCCUAUGAGAAACUGACCGUGUCAGUUAGGAGUUAGGAGGUCAAGGUUGGGCCAGCAGUCCAGACUGAACCAGGAGAAGGGGGCCAUGAUGGCUGAGCAGUGCAACCAAAACCUACUGCUGACCAACCUCAAAUCUAUCCAGCUGACGUUGGAGUGUACAGAGACAGAGACCAGGCAGUGUCUGAACAGCCAGAUAGAGAGACUGGAGAGAGAGCUCCCCCAGUUUAAGAAGAAACCGGCUGAGGAGGUAGAGCAGAGGCACGUGCUGGGCCGCAACCAAGAAGUACAGAUACACUCAAGCUCAACUGCUGGAGGCCAAGAAGCAGCUGGAGGCCCAGUGGUCUCUGUACCAGAAGACCAAGGAGCUGUUGAAGAACGCUGAGCUGCAAGCGAACCUACUGAGGCAGCAGCUCAGCCACACUGAGAAGC